rnacentral:rRNA from 1 species
CCUGCCAGUGAUUAUAUGCUUGUCUCAAAGAUUAAGCCAUGCAUGUCUCAGUACAAGCCGCAUUAAGGUGAAACCGCGAAAGGCUCAUUAAAUCAGUUAUGGUUCCUUAGAUCGUACCCACUGUUACUUGGAUAACUGUGGUAAUUCUAGAGCUAAUACAUGCACACAGAGUCCCGACCGGAAACGGCCGGGGUGCUUUUAUUAGAUCAAGACCGAUCGGAGACGCGCGUUCGCGCGCGUCUUCGUACACCCUCGUGGUGACUCUGGAUAACUUUUUGCUGAUCGCGCGGUCUCGUACCGGCGACGCAUCUUUCAAAUGUCUGCCUUAUCAACUGUCGAUGGUAGGUUCUGCGCCUACCAUGGUUGUAACGGGUAACGGGGAAUCAGGGUUCGAUUCCGGAGAGGGAGCCUGAGAAACGGCUACCACAUCCAAGGAAGGCAGCAGGCGCGCAAAUUACCCACUCCCGGCACGGGGAGGUAGUGACGAAAAAUAACGAUACGGGACUCAUCCGAGGCCCCGUAAUCGGAAUGAGUACAGUCUAAACCUCUUCGCGAGGAUCAAUUGGAGGGCAAGUCUGGUGCCAGCAGCCGCGGUAACUCCAGCUCCAAUAGCGUAUAU